rnacentral:sRNA from 1 species
GCUGGGUGCAGUGGCGCAUGCCUGUAAUCCCAGCGGCUCAGGAGGCUGAGACCGGAGAAUUGCAAGUUCAAAGCCAGCCUCAGCAAAAGCGAAAUGCUAAGCAACUCAGUGAGACCCUGUCUCUA